rnacentral:rRNA from 1 species
GAUGAACGCUGGCGGCGUGCCUAAUACAUGCAAGUCGAGCGAACGGACGAGAAGCUUGCUUCUCUGAUGUUAGCGGCGGACGGGUGAGUAACACGUGGAUAACCUACCUAUAAGACUGGGAUAACUUCGGGAAACCGUAGCUAAUACCGGAUAAUAUUUUGAACCGCAUGGUUCAAUAGUGAAAGACGGUCUUGCUGUCACUUAUAGAUGGAUCCGCGCUGCAUUAGCUAGUUGGUAAGGUAACGGCUUACCAAGGCAACGAUGCAUAGCCGACCUGAGAGGGUGAUCGGCCACACUGGAACUGAGACACGGUCCAGACUCCUACGGGAGGCAGCAGUAGGGAAUCUUCCGCAAAGGGCGAAAGCCUGACGGAGCAACGCCGCGUGAGUGAUGAAGGUCUUCGGAUCGUAAAACUCUGUUAUUAGGGAAGAACAUAUGUGUAAGUAACUAUGCACAUCUUGACGGUACCUAAUCAGAAAGCCACGGCUAACUACGUG